rnacentral:rRNA from 1 species
GACGAACGCUGGCGGCGUGCUUAACACAUGCAAGUCGAGCGGUAAGGCCCUUUCGGGGGUACACGAGCGGCGAACGGGUGAGUAACACGUGGGUGACCUGCCCUCAGCUCUGGGAUAAGCCCGGGAAGCUGGGUCUAAUACUGGAUAUGACUCCAUGACGCAUGUUGUGGGGUGGAAAGCCUUGUGCGGCUGAGGAUGGGCCCGCGGCCUAUCAGCUUGUUGGGGGGUGAUGGCCUACCAAGGCGACGACGGGUAGCCGGCCUGAGAGGGCGACCGGCCACACUGGGACUGAGACACGGCCCAGACUCCUACGGGAGGCAGCAGUGGGGAAUCUUGCGCAAUGGGCGAAAGCCUGACGCAGCGACGCCGCGUGAGGGAUGACGGCCU